AAUAAACAUUAUUAAAACAGAUUGUGAAGUCAUUCAUUCAAAACUUGCUAUGACCUAAGCCUAAAUGACUUAAUUUCUUUUUAGAAUUAAGACAACCUUAGCAGGAGAGCCCCAGCAGUAACUUUCUCUCAAGCAGAUGAGCAAUAAGUUGCUUUGUAUGAACACCACCCUAACAAUCAAGUAGCCUGUUAACAGUAGACCAAAGGUAUGAUGAUCAAUUAUAAAUGCAAUAUGGUUGAAAGCUUGACAAAAAUGUAGCUUGAAGGAGAAGGGACAGCUGAGUAACAAAGUCCUGGUACGCAGACGACGAUACUAUUACACUGACAAGAGUGUAAUGAUGAUGGAGACACAAGCCAGAGAAAGAAGGACCAAACACCAGGCCAGAAUUCUGCAUGAGUCAGGUAAGCAUAAUGAGUUACAGCAGUGGUUCUCAACUCUGUUCAUGGAGUCCCACUGCUCUGUGCAUUCUGUAUGUCUCUUUGAUUUGACAGACUGAGGCUGCAUCCAAAUAUUA